rnacentral:rRNA from 1 species
CCUACGGGAGGCAGCAGUGAGGAAUAUUGGUCAAUGGCCGAGAGGCUGAACCAGCCAAGUCGCGUGAGGGAAGACGGCCCUACGGGUUGUAAACCUCUUUUGUCGGGGAGCAAAGCGAACCACGUGUGGCUCAUUGAGAGUACCCGAAGAAAAAGCAUCGGCUAACUCCGUGCCAGCAGCCGCGGUAAUACGGAGGAUGCGAGCGUUAUCCGGAUUUAUUGGGUUUAAAGGGUGCGCAGGCGGAGGUGCAAGUCAGCGGUCAAAUUGCGGGGCUCAACCCCGUACUGCCGUUGAAACUGCAUGCCUUGAGUGCGCGAGAGGUAGGCGGAAUGCGUGGUGUAGCGGUGAAAUGCAUAGAUAUCACGCAGAACUCCGAUUGCGAAGGCAGCAUACCGGCGCGCAACUGACGCUCAUGCACGAAAGCGUGGGUAUCGAACAGGAUUAGAUACCCCUGUAGUC